rnacentral:rRNA from 1 species
AGAGUUUGAUCCUGGCUCAGGACGAACGCUGGCGGCGUGCCUAAUACAUGCAAGUCGAACGCUUCUUUCCUCCCGAGUGCUUGCACUCAAUUGGAAAGAGGAGUGGCGGACGGGUGAGUAACACGUGGGUAACCUACCCAUCAGAGGGGGAUAACACUUGGAAACAGGUGCUAAUACCGCAUAACAGUUUAUGCCGCAUGGCAUAAGAGUGAAAGGCGCUUUCGGGUGUCGCUGAUGGAUGGACCCGCGGUGCAUUAGCUAGUUGGUGAGGUAACGGCUCACCAAGGCCACGAUGCAUAGCCGACCUGAGAGGGUGAUCGGCCACACUGGGACUGAGACACGGCCCAGACUCCUACGGGAGGCAGCAGUAGGGAAUCUUCGGCAAUGGACGAAAGUCUGACCGAGCAACGCCGCGUGAGUGAAGAAGGUUUUCGGAUCGUAAAACUCUGUUGUUAGAGAAGAACAAGGACGUUAGUAACUGAACGUCCCCUGACGGUAUCUAACCAGUUAGCCACGGCUAACUACGUGCCAGCAGCCGCGGUAAUACGUAGGUGGCAAGCGUUGUCCGGAUUUAUUGGGCGUAAAGCGAGCGCAGGCGGUUUCUUAAGUCUGAUGUGAAAGCCCCCGGCUCAACCGGGGAGGGUCAUUGGAAACUGGGAGACUUGAGUGCAGAAGAGGAGAGUGGAAUUCCAUGUGUAGCGGUGAAAUGCGUAGAUAUAUGGAGGAACUACAGUGGCGAAGGCGGCUCUCUGGUCUGUAACUGACGCUGAGGCUCGAAAGCGUGGGGAGCAAACAGGAUUAGAUACCCUGGUAGUCCACGCCGUAAACGAUGAGUGCUAAGUGUUGGAGGGUUUCCGCCCUUCAGUGCUGCAGCAAACGCAUUAAGCACUCCGCCUGGGGAGUACGACCGCAAGGUUGAAACUCAAAGGAAUUGACGGGGGCCCGCACAACGAGGUGGAGCAUGUGGUUUAAUUCGA